rnacentral:tRNA from 1 species
GCAGUCGUGGCCGAGUGGUUAAGGCGAUGGACUUGAAGUCCAUUGGGGUCUCCUCGCACAAAUUCGAACCCUGUCGACUGCG